rnacentral:rRNA from 1 species
GACGAACGCUGGCGGCGUGCUUAACACAUGCAAGUCGAACGGUGAAGCGCCUUCCUUUUUGGUGGGUGUGGAUGAGUGGCGAACGGGUGAGUAACACGUGAGUAACCUGCCCCCUUCUUCUGGAUAACCGCAUGAAAGUGUGGCUAAUACGGGAUAUUCUGGGUCUGUCGCAUGAUGGGUCUGGGAAAGAUAUUGUUUCGGUGGGGGAUGGGCUCGCGGCCUAUCAGCUUGUUGGUGGGGUGAUGGCCUACCAAGGCGGUGGCGGGUAGCCGGCCUGAGAGGGUGGACGGUCACACUGGGAAUGAGACACGGCCCAGACUCCUACGGGAGGCAGAAGUGGGGAAUAUUGAACAAUGGGCGCAAGCCUGAUGCAGCGACGCCGCGUGAGGGAUGGAGGCCUUCGGGUUGUGAACCUCUUUCGCCAGUGAAGCAGGCCUGCCUCGUUUGUGGGUGGGUUGACGGUAGCUGGAUAAGAAGCGCCGGCUAACUACGUG